rnacentral:tRNA from 1 species
GGCCUCGAGGCUCAGCUGAUAGGGCGUGCGCGUACAGAGCGUAAGCGGCGUCCAUGCGUGGGUUCGAAUCCCACCGAGGCUA